AUGCAGCAGAAGCUGAGGUACUGUGACAGGGAUAUUUUCCAGGGCAAGCAGCCGGAGUCCCGCAGGCCGCAUCCGCGAAGCAGACGCAAAAUCGCCGCGGCACCGGGCGAGCUGCCGUCAGCGGGCACAGCGCGAUGCGUGCGCACCAGCGAGCAGAAACGCGGUACCCCGGCCUGCCCUACGCCCGCAGCAGCUCCGUGCAGCACAGCCGGCGCACAUCCCUCCGCUCGCUCAGCAGCCGGCUCUGAAACCAACUGCAAUCCUACGGCCCCCACAGCGGAUUUCCCCGCCCCAGAUGCGAGGCCCGAGCUCCCGCAUUCCCUACGAGGCGGGUUUAUGUACGAGGGCGGCAGCGCAGCCCUGCCCGGACCGUCCCUGCUAACGCUGAUCCUUCCAGAAAGAGCCGCAGAGCGCGGGGCCACCGCAACCCCGCCAUGUCCGGGCCCGCCGUCUCCCCGUGAGCCGCAGCCCCGGGCACCGCAGCCUGCCCGCCUCUCCCUGCCGCCGGGCACGGGGCGCGGGGGAGGAGGGGCGGCUCCGCAGCUCGGCCCGAGCGGGAUGCACGCGUCGGCCGCCGCAGCGCAGCGCCGAGUCGAGCCGAGCCGGCCGCCAGCCCGCGCCCACCCGCCCCCCGCCGCACCUCUCCCGGCCGCUCCCCGCUCGCGGUCCCUCCCGCAGCCGCGCCGCCGGGCACCGCCGAGCGGGGCCCCGCGUCCCGCGCCCGGGCCUCGGCCCGACCCCUCCGCACCUGGUGCGGGUCCGCGCCGCCUCCUCACCACGCAGGGCGGCUCCGGCGGGGCUGGCAGCGCAGCGCGGGGCGGACAGCCCGGCAGGCAGCCUUUCCUCCCGCCACCAUCUUCCUCCGGCCGCCGCCCCCGCCGCCAGCACCGCCCGGCACGGCCCCUCCCGCCGCUCCGCACCGCCCUUCGCGUCAGCGCGUCCGCCGCCGCCCUCCUGGUCCCGCGGCGGUGCGGGGCGGUGCCGCCAUCACGGGCCGCGCCGGUGGGAGGCGAGGAGAUGGCGGCCGCCGGGCCGGGCUGCCCGGACGCCCCCGCCGGAGAGCGGGCUGAGCCCGGCCCGGGGCCCGACCCUGCCGCGGGGGGAACAAUGGCUGCCCGGCUGCCGGGGCGAGGCAGGAUGGCGCACCUGGCGCCAAGCCCCGGGGCAGCCCUUCCCGCCCGGCGGCGAGCUUGCACCGAGACGGUGCGGCUCGCUGCUGCACGCGACUGCUUGCUCCCUGUUCACACAUACAAACGUAGUAUUAAUCAUAGGAUGUCAAGAGUUCGAAGAGAGCCAUUAAGGAUCGUCGAGUCCAACGCAUGGCUCCACACAGAACCACCCGAAACACAAAACCAUGUAUGGCUAAGAGCGUUGGCAGCUUGGUGCUGUGACCACGGCCUACGGGAGACCUGUCCCACCACCCAAAGGUGGCGAACCAUUCCCUGA
rnacentral:lncRNA from 1 species